GCCUUUAUCCUGGGAUUGCUUAGUCAGUAGAGCAUGGACUCUUAAUCUCAGGGUUGUGGGUUCAAGCCUCACAUUGGGCA